ensembl:misc_RNA Metazoa_SRP Metazoan signal recognition particle RNA
GCCGGGCAUGGUGGCACAUGCUUGUAGUCCCAGCUACUUGGGAGGCUGAGGCAGGGGGAUUGCUUGAACCCGGGAGGUGGAGGUUGCAGUGAGCCAAGAUCACGCCAUUGCACUCCAGCCUGGGCAACAGAGUAAGACCCUGCCUCAA